rnacentral:rRNA from 1 species
GAUGAACGCUGGCGGCGUGCUUAACACAUGCAAGUCGAACGGAAAGGCCCAAUCUUUCUUGGUUUCUCGAUUGGCGAACGGGUGAGUAACACGUGUGUGAUCUGCCCUUCACUUUGUGAUAAGCCUUGGAAACUGGGUCUAAUACCGGAUAGGACCAUCUUUUAGUGUCGGUUGUGUAAAGUUUUUCGGUGUUGGUUGAGCUCGUGGCCUAUCAGCUUGUUGGUGGGGUAAUGGCCUACCUAGGCGUCUACGGGUAGCCGGCCUGAGAGGGUGUACGGCCAAAUAGGGACGGAGAUGAGGCAGAGAAAGGGAAGGGAGGGAGAAGGGGGGAAUAAUGAAGAAGGGGCGCAAGGCUGAUGAAGAGAGGCCGCGGGGGGGAAGACGGGGUUAGGGUGGAAAAAAAAAUUGGGAAAGGACGAAGCGUGUUGUGACGGUAAUUGGAGAAGAAGCAACGGCUAACUACGUG